GAUACUUAGAGAAAUUACAAAGGUGGGAGGAGGUGAGCUAAGUGGAGUAGUUAACUGACACACACACACCUCAAUUACACCAAGUCAAUCUAUUUCAGACUUAUUUUUUCCUAACGGAUUGCUGACAUUGGAUCCUGCAGAUGAGCUGCUGCUGACCAUUGUUGGGAGUUGGACUGCAGACUGUCUCCAGCAGAAGGUAUAGCCCAGAUUAAAGUGUGUGCCACCCACCUUUCAUCCCAGAUGACCUUGAACUCAGAGAUCUCCCUGUCUUAAUCUUCUGGGAUUCAUAGCCACUAUGCCUCGAGAUCUCCAUGCCAUGAUCCAGAUCAAGGAAAUCGGUUGUUCAAGAUCAGCCUUCACUACCUGUUGUGAGUUGGAAGCUACCCUAAGCUACACAAGGUCCCAUCUCGAAACAACGCCACGUUUUCUGCUGACAGCGCUCUCAGCCCUUGCCUUAUUUCUAUUAGUCCUGGAAAGUGUCAUCUCUUCCCGUCCUCAAAUUCCCGUCCUCAACAUGGAGUUUUAAUGGUUUCUUAC
rnacentral:lncRNA from 1 species